CUAGAGAGACAGGAGACUUUGGAGAACUUCUAACAGGCAAAAAGCAGGGAUGGGUGAAUUUAUCAAUUCCUGUUUCAGUUUCUCAGUCUGAAGUACACAUUUCUGGUUCAGGUUGCAAUUAUUAUUUUUUAAGUCAUUGUGAAAAUUUGUUAGCAUUUUAGUAUACUAAUAUAUACUGCACCUUUGCAUGUUGUUUUCAUUAAUAUACUGUAUGCCUUUUUAUACACAGUAUUUGGUUGGAGAACCACGUCACAAAAUUCAGAGAAGUGAGAAUUUUAAAGGAUAACUGUACUUCGGUUCAUCUAUUGUUUCAGAAAGUGUGAAUUAGGUA